rnacentral:tRNA from 1 species
AUUUAAAUAGCUUAAGUUAAUAGAGUUUAAUAUUGAAGAUAUUAAGAUGAUUGGAUAAUCUUUAAAUA